CACGUAGGGCGCAAGCGUUGUCCGGAAUCAUUGGGCGUAAAGCGCGUGUAGGCGGCCAUGUAAGUCCGUUCUGAAAGCCCGGGGCUCAACCCCGGGAGGCGGAUGGAUACUGCAUGGCUCGAGUACGGAAGAGGCGAGUGGAAUUCCCGGUGUAGCGGUGAAAUGCGCAGAUAUCGGGAGGAACACCGGUGGCGAAGGCGGAUCUCUGGGCCUUACCUGACGCUGAGGCGCGAAAGCUAGGGGAGCAAACAGG
rnacentral:rRNA from 1 species